CUGGUCACUGACCUAAGAUCGUCAUCUCUCCGGCCAUCACAGUCCCGCCGAAGAGGCUUGGGAUGACUGUACCAGACGUGAGGUGACGCCCCCACGCCGCCCCGCAGCCCCAAGGCCUACUGGGUAAUGUAGUUCUUUUUCUCCGACGCAGUCGGAGAAGCUACGUAUCUGACCAGAGAAGGGACUUCAUUUACCGUCAGGUCGCAGGACUGAGAACUUCCAUUCAAUAGCUGCCAGUGACGUCUAAGCCGCCCUCCUACGCCGGGGCUACGGAACCAAUGAGGCUGAGGUGGAGGAGAGCCAAGAAGAGGGACUGGAAUAUAUAAUCAAACCUGAAGCGACUGGAGCCAAGUAGAGGUGCAGUGAUCUUUUGCUCGUACUAGCUGCCUCCCUAUUCAGCGUACCCACAGGAUGCUGUGUGAAGUUCUGGAUAGAUGGAGAAAAUGUCAUGUCUAAAAGUAUAGAUUCUGGCAUCAGACUGCCCGAACUUGAAUUCUUGCUCUGCCCUUUUACUAGCAAUGUCACUGAGAGUGGGAUGCUAUAAACCCGAGCUGACACUAUCAGCAAAAGGACUCCAGCAGUUUCUAGAGAUGGAGAAAGCCUGCUGCCAGCAUCCUCAGAGUUAGGAGGGAUAAAGAACUGGGGAUUUCAGUAUGAAGAAACUACAACGUGAAGAGGGGGAAAAAGAUGGAACCCGUGAGCCAUACCUACCUCUACAACCUCUGCCAAUGCCUGCAGCUCCAGAAUCUUCACUUCCCUGGCUGGGCCCAGGGAAGUUUUGUGCUUAAUUUGGGACAACAGAACGGAGGAAAAAAGGACUUUUAGGAUCAGUGGGUCCAUUUCUGCAAAAUGGCAGAGGAACUAUUGAUACAGUUGCAUUGGAUAUGGAAAUCAUUGGGAUUCAAAUCAUAUGGCAAGCGGGUUGGAAACACCAGGCAUGCAUGUCAGGGGCUAGGGCACCAAGCUACCCUGGCACGCUGUCAGGUCAACUGCUGGACUGCUGCUUGGCAGAACUACAAAUCUCCCCGCUGGCAGCUCGUGUUCCAGGCUCCUGGCUGGGCUUCGCCUCUUGCCCUGCGUCGUUUUGGGCAGAUUCCCAGCUGAGGGAGCCAGUGACCUAAUUCUGCUCAGUUCUAAUGCAACACGGGAGUGAAUUCAGAAUAUCUCGGUACUGGCCUUGCUGGGAUUGCAGAACCCCAAAGUCAUUCUCCUGAUGCAGAGGUAAUCCUGUAAUCAGCGCUAACACCACUCACCAACCCUUCUAACAGCUUGUAGGAGAAACCCCUUUACCUCCUGUCAAGCAGUGACCUAAAACACUUUAAUCCACUUUACAUUCUCAAGGUCAGAGUGGGUACAAUGCUAUCUAUUUUGGCCUAAGAGAAAAGGAAAAUUUCUUGCUCUAAGUAUUAGGUUUCUACUGUCCCACCCUCUUGGUCCUUCUAGAUGUAUGAAAGGCUCACAUAGGGCUUGUAGUAUUCCCUUCAUCAUCUCAAAAUUUUAACUCGUCCUCGAAACAGAUGCCCCUUCUCCUCAAUUUUUAUACUGAAAAAAUGGCAAGCAAAACUUCCCAGUUCCCAACCUAAGAAGCUCUAAACUAGGAAUUUAUUGACAUUCCCCAAGUUGGCUUUAUUCAAUGAUCAAGAUAAAAUGCAUGCAUAAAAUCCUGGCCAAUUUGCAUACCUUAUUCUUACACACACACACACACACACACACACACACACACAGCUAACUAUUUUUUAACCUGUGACUGUGACAUACAUUUGUUUUUAAUAAUAUCUUAGUUUUAUAUAACCAUAUAUUCAAGGUCUUUAUCAUUCAAGGUACAUGAAGGUUGUGCAUUUAAUCUUUAGCAUGGUUGUAGAAGAUAUGAUUCACAGAGUAGAGAAUAGAUAAAAAUAA